rnacentral:tRNA from 1 species
GGCUCGAUGGUGCAACUGGAAGCAUGUCCCAGCAGAGUUGGGGAGACCUGGGUUCAACUCCCAGUCGGGCCG